CAUGCUGUGCUUUGUCGUCCUGCAAGUUCCCCGGGGCCUCCUCCAGGCCCACAGGGGCCUGCCUGUGAGCACACAGCCUGCGAGGGGGGGAGGCGUCAGCACCCCCCCGAGAAGCAGCCCCAAGACGCGGGCCUGGGGGCCGGGAGUGGUGAACCCGUGCUCCGACCUUUCAUCCUGUAGGUGGAUGCUCUGGGAGUGCUCUCGACGCAUCCUCGUGUCGGCUCGUCACCUCCCAGCUCGUGCUCCUGCCCCCUCAGGCCUCUUGCUGCCAUCAUUCUGCCCAAACAGCAAUUUGCCCUCAAGCCUGUGUCUCGGGUUCCUCGGGGAACGCAGGCUAAGAACCAGGGCGAGUACAGGCUCAACAGGGAUGCUGGUAGUGGCAGACAUCUCUUGGAGCAAACCCACGUGCCUCCGAAACCACCCCAACUCUUUCACAUUCUCGCGGCCAUUAUGACACCUGUCCCAAACUUCCAGCGUUUGCCCAUGGGUCCCCAGGAGAGUGUCCAACCCCCUUCUUUCUUCCUUGGAGACCCUCUGCGAUCACCUGGCUUGGAUUAGGGAACCCCAAGGAACAGACGAUGCCAGCGCUGGCCCUGAGUCCCCCGCGGGAAGCAUUUCUGUGGCUGCCAGUCCAUUUCCCAACUGCAGGCACCAGGGAGUCUCUGAGGAGGGUCUCCCUGGACGCCAGAGCUUGCUGGGCCUGUGGGCGGGAGCAGCUGGCUAAUGGCUGACAGCAACGGGGGCAUAAAUGCCCCGGCUCCCUUGCCGUGCGGGUGCGUCACCCUGAGGGUGUUCUACGUGGGCUCCUGGGCUUCUAGGCAGGAGUAAGCCCCGACCCGCCACAAUGCGUGACUUCCCCAGUCCCACUUCCGCACUGCCCUACUGGCAUUUCCCAGGAUUCCCUCAGAAUAAACGACUUGAUCUCAGGAUUUUCUUCUGCGAAAAGCCAAGCAACUGGAGUGCCCGUGCUGAGCAGCUGCCAGGUACUGUAUGGGUGGUACUCGGUGACAUCCUCCGGGACCCAGGCCUGCCUCUCUAGGUGCUCUGCGGUCCUCCCGUGCCAAACAAGAUGGCUGCCGCCAUGACGUCUCACAAGCCCGUCCACAGACUUCUUUUCAGGUCCCAUUGGCCAGCACAGGGUCACAUGACGUUUCCUGACCAAUCCCUGGCACAGGGGACGGCUUUGCCAAGAUGGCGUAGACAAAUGAUAAAAUUAACACAGAAAGCCCGCCACUUCUAUGAAAAUGCAGAAAAAGAAGGAGAAAGAAAGAAGAGGCAGCAAGAGGGAGAAGAAAAGAAGAAGAAAAGAACAAAAAGAAGCAAAAUUUGUAAUGCCCAAAGAACAAUUUUAUAAGCUGAGAUCUUCGUAUUUGGUUAUGUUAUAAAUAUUAAAAUAUGGAAUAGUGAAAA